UGCCUGGUGAUCACAACUGUGGAAUGG
rnacentral:piRNA from 2 species